UACGUAGGUGACAAGCGUUGUCCGGAUUUACUGGGCGUAAAGAGCGCGCAGGCGGUCGAUCAAGUCGAGUGUGAAAGCCCCCGGCUCAACUGGGGAGGGUCAUUCGAUACUGAUCGACUCGAAGGCAGGAGAGGGUAGUGGAAUUCCCGGUGUAGUGGUGAAAUGCGUAGAUAUCGGGAGGAACACCAGUGGCGAAGGCGACUACCUGGCCUGUUCUGACGCUGAGGCGCGAAAGCUAGGGGAGCAAACGGGG
rnacentral:rRNA from 1 species